CGAAAUAUGCUUACGCUCAUACUUUUGAUCACGAUUUAUUAGAUUAUAAAUUGCAGUUUUUCACUGUUAUAACUGGUGAAAUUUGCCAUUCUCGUUUUGGCCAAUUCGCAAAUUAUAUGACGAAUAUUUUUGUAGCUUCAACUCUUUUGGGAUGUGAUGCCGUGUACGUUCCGCAGCAAAUAGUAGGACUGUGAAUGACGACGCAAAUAAAGCGACUUUUGAAUGUUCUGUACGCCAUCCAGUUUAAUUAUGGAAUGUUAUAAACACUGCGAUGCUGUCAGUACAUUGUUCUGUUAGCAUUGAAAGAUGUGACAAUAUUUACUUUGCCCUCUGAAACUGCAAUAUAAUUUGAUCUUGUCAUGGAAUGGGUACCACCUGGAAGAAGGAAAAGAGGACAUCCUCCAAACACCAGGAUACAGGAAAUUCAAUCAUCAAUGAGGGAGAGAAAUAUUGAAGAGGAUUUGUGGGCAAACAGACAAGAAUGGAGAAGAAAAGUUAGAAUGUAAAAUGUCAAAUUCAAUUGUAACCUUGGGUACCGGAAAAAUGUAUAAACAUUGUAUAACCGGAAAUAAAUAUAUGUACCAUUUACAUUUUAAUAUAAAAUAUGUCACUAUUUACAUAUAAAACAAUAGAUUCAAAA